rnacentral:lncRNA from 1 species
CAGGUUUUGGUCCCAGAGAUAAUAUCCGAGGGGUACAGAAGGAGACGGAAAGCAGAGAGAGAGCUUGAAGUGCCUGCUCAAUCAAGUCAAAUACUGAACAGCUUCCUAGAGGAGAGGCUGAGAAUUUAAAGCACCCCAAAUAAGAUGAUCCACUCCAACACCUCCCCUUUAAAGGUGAGAAAAAUGAUGUUUACAGCUGAUUUAUGAUUUGACCAAAGUCAGAU